GGGAGGAGGGAGGAGGGGGGAGGAGGAGGAGAGAGCAGAGUAUACCGCAGACAUCAUUUCUACUACAGUGGCGGAGCCGUACAGGACCUGUUUCACUGCAGGGGGAUCCAAAACAAGCCCCGUGGAGCAGCAGCCAGAGCUACAGCAGCCGCAAGACACUGUUUCUCUCCCUCUGCCCCCCCUUCCCCACGCAACCCCAGAUCCAUUUACACUUUACAGAGGAGCCGGCUGCAAAUCACCGAGGUGUUCCAUUCAAGCUGCAGAUUUGUCUGUCGUCUUUGGACAGCAGUCUCUUCCUCCACGGCUGCUUUGGGGGAGUCCAACACCCAUCGGGGUUUACAACUUAUCAGCUGUGUGCUGUGGCUUCUAACGCUGUGACUGCUCUAAGCCCAUCAAGAGGUUAAUUACUUGUAAAGAAUAAGGAGCUGCUGGAGACCUGUCACACGUCCAGGAGAGCUUUGGAGUUUACCUCUUCGGUAAUGUGAAUAAACAAAUGUCCUCCUUGUAUCUAGUUUCCA
rnacentral:lncRNA from 1 species